rnacentral:rRNA from 1 species
CCUACGGGUGGCAUCAGUGAGGAAUAUUGGUCAAUGGACGAGAGUCUGAACCAGCCAAGUAGCGUGAAGGAUGACUGCCCUAUGGGUUGUAAACUUCUUUUAUAUGGGAAUAAAAUGUUCCACGUGUGGGAUUUUGUAUGUACCAUAUGAAUAAGGAUCGGCUAACUCCGUGCCAGCAGCCGCGGUAAUACGGAGGAUCCGAGCGUUAUCCGGAUUUAUUGGGUUUAAAGGGAGCGUAGGUGGAUUGUUAAGUCAGUUGUGAAAGUUUGCGGCUCAACCGUAAAAUUGCAGUUGAAACUGGCAGUCUUGAGUACAGUAGAGGUGGGCGGAAUUCGUGGUGUAGCGGUGAAAUGCUUAGAUAUCACGAAGAACUCCGAUUGCGAAGGCAGUUCACUGGACUGCAACUGACGCUGAGGCUCGAAAGUGUGGGUAUCAAACAGGAUUAGAUACCCCAGUAGUC